UUUAUAUGUAUCUAUUUGUUAGAGAAGGCUUUUGCCUUUUGGGUUCAAUUUUAUCUACUCUUUUUUAAUUCAGCAAUGGAGCUUGCAUUAUCACAUAAGAAAUUGGCAAAUGAAAGCUGCUCCACUUGCACAGUGUAAAACAUUCGUUGUUAUUGUAAAUUGUAUGAUGUCUUCUUAAUAUAAGAUAUGUAUCGAUCAAAGAUUAUAAAUUUAAUAAUUAAAGAACAAAAAAGGAAUAAAAGUUUCUGAAUUUAAAGCAUGCGUUACAACGAAUCAUGAACCCCCUUUGGUGGCGGGGUAUUGUAGAGGGAUAUGGUACACGUGAAUAUAAUUGGAAUAAAAUUAUUAACAUUGUUGUAAUUAUGUGGAAUUAGUGUUGUCAACUCGCGUCGCGCGGGCCUUUUUGCUAGUAUAUACUAAAACUCAGUUGAGUUUGGCACUAUUCAUCAAUAGUGAUAGAACGGAAAUGCCCUGAUUUCUUCUCAGCUUGCCGUGCUGUUUUCACUUUUCUACAGUCAAAAGUCGAUUCUGCCCAUUUGAUCCACGUGUUGAUCAUCAUUGGGUUCUUUCUUUCGACUGGGUUGCUUGCUUUAUCUUUCAUUUUCACUUUUCGUGUUCAGCAUCUUUCAUUUUCCCUUUCCUCUUCUUUUCUUCUCUCUCUCUCCAUCUGUGUUUGCCUUUUUCGAUCUCUCUAUCUCUUUCAUUUCGAUUCUGAUCCAAUUGUUUGCGAGUGAUCAGUAUUGGCAGUCGCAAGGACGCGGUGGAUCUGUAGGAUAAAGCCUUGGAUGCUUUAACAAUUGAGGACAAGAAAAGGCAAUAUGCUGCUGCGAAGAACUAUCUAGAAGAUCUUUCUUCCUUGCUUUCGGAUUUAGGACUUAACAUUCGUGAAGAACAUGUCUUCUCGACAACCGAUGGCAACUCUUUAGAUGUUUUGUGGUGGAUGGAUGGAUGGUCUAUUGAGGGUGAGAAGCGGAUCACCGAUUUGAAAUCAGCACUUAAAGUAAAAAUUAGAAAGAGAUUUUUUUUGCACAAAGUUGAAAAGGAUUUAGCAGCUGUGACGGACUAAUUUUUGGAAACGUAGACGAGCAUAUUCACCUAGGGUGAGUGGACUCUCCUACUUUUGCUUUUUCUUUUGCUUCUCUUUUCAUACCCGUGUGAUUUCGAAUCUCCCUAUGCCUAUAGUUGGGAUGUUAUGUCCAAUGAGCUUAUAAUUCGAAAGUUCCCAAUAUUUGGUCUCUGGAUAAUUGAAUCUGGGAGCAUUAUACAUGUUUGUAUUUGAAUAAAAUUGUAACAAUUGUGAGGGAUAUAAUUCAUGUCCUUGGAAGAGAUCUUAUUAUAGUUUUUACAAAGCUUUGGAACAUAUUCACUUUUUUCA